ACGGGAGGCAGCAGUGGGGAAUAUUGCACAAUGGGCGCAAGCCUGAUGCAGCGACGCCGCGUGAGCGAUGAAGUAUUUCGGUAUGUAAAGCUCUAUCAGCAGGGAAGAAAAUGACGGUACCUGACUAAGAAGCCCCGGCUAACUACGUGCCAGCAGCCGCGGUAAUACGUAGGGGGCAAGCGUUAUCCGGAUUUACUGGGUGUAAAGGGAGCGUAGACGGCGAUGCAAGUCUGAAGUGAAAGCCCGGGGCUCAACCCCGGGACUGCUUUGGAAACUGUCAAGCUAGAGUGCAGGAGAGGAAAGCGGAAUUCCUAGUGUAGCGGUGAAAUGCGUAGAUAUUAGGAGGAACACCAGUGGCGAAGGCGGCUUUCUGGACUGUAACUGACACUGAGGCUCGAAAGCGUGGGGAGCAAACAGGAUUAGAUACCCUGGUA
rnacentral:rRNA from 1 species